UCGGGAAAAAAGACGCGUCCCGCAUCGGCAAAUCCCCGUCUCGCGCCCCUCCUCGCGCCGCCGUCCUCCUCCCCGUCGCCCUUUGCCUCGCGUCGCCCUUCGCUGCCAGACCGACGCCGCCUCUCCUCCCAGGCCGCCGCCGCCGCUCCCGCGCCUCCCAGGUCGACGGGGCCAAGCCGGCGCCCUCCUCCCAGACCGACGCCGCCGCUCCCUUCGCCUCCCAGAUUGGGCCCCGUCCUCGGCCGCCGGCGUCGUCCUCCUCGGCCGGCUCGCGCGCCCCUACUCCGCCAGCUCGACGCCGAGGGCCCGCGCGCCUGUCUCCGGCGGCCCGCGCGCUCCUCCUCCCGCUCUCUCCUCCAAUCGCGCGGAUCGACAAUCAGUUCGCGGAACCGCUGACCUCCAUUCGUGCGGAUCCAUGGGCCGCCAUGGCGCCGCUUGCCAGACGGGCCACCGCGCAUCUCCGGCCGGUCCUCGCACUCCGGCAUCGCCAGCCACCUCCGUGCCGACGACGAGCGGGGGGACACGCUGCUCUCCCACAACCUACGGGCGGCUCCGGGCUCCCCGGCGUCGGCGUCGGCGUCGCGGUGCUCCUCUCCGCCGACGAAGGCUCGCCGCGCCUCUCUCCUUCAACUCGUGCCCGGCCCUCGCUCCGGCUUAGCGGGGUGCCUUUCCCCCAAUCUGAUGCCGACCCUCGCUCUCCGGCCUCGCGUGGCGCAUCUCCCCUUCCACCAUCUACCAGCGCCGUCCACCGUCCGCUGCCGUCCUCCACAGCGAGGGGUGCCCCUAUUCACCGCCGCGAGAGGGUCCCCGUCCGCCUUACCGACGAAUUCCCCAUCGCGCGGCCACGCCACCAUGCCCUUCGAGGCUUCGACCGGUGCAGGUGCAGGGGACGCCCGCGAAAAGCAGCGAACGAGCCGCUGCAGGCGCCUUCUCCCGCCGCGCCACCGCAUGUCUCCCGCUGCCCCUGCCACCAUGUGCAGGUCGACCAAUCUCAGUCCCCCUGUCAGGUUGGAGAGGAAGUUCUUGAUUUCAGGAGGAGUUCUGCAUGCAUUUAUAACUCUCGAAGAGCGAGUAAGAAGAAAUACAUAUAUGUGCACUGCAGGCCAUUUUAGUUCUCUGGCUACGUUGUCUUAAACGCAGGAUUGUACUCUCUGGUUCCAUGUUUAACGUUGCCAUGCCAUGGUCUCAGGAUCAAUUUCUGCUCCCUCCCGAAGUUAACCUGACAUUACUGCCAAUCUGAUGGAGCAUCUCACAUCCUGUUCCUAUCUAUUUCCAGGUGCCACUAGCCACCAGCAGAGCCUGCAGUCGUCCAUCAACAGCGUGUCCCUGCUUAUUGCUCUAUUAUCUUUCAAUAGUUAAGAAGAUGGACAUCUUAAUGGAUACAGACUUAAAUGGUUGAGUCUAACAGCCUCUACUUAGGUCCUUUCAGCUUCAAUCUGACAUGCUGUUUGUAUACUCUCAAGAAUUCUCUGCUAUGGAUGAAUAAAUCUAGAGAGAUUGCGUACAUGAAUUUCAAAAUUAAAACAAAGAACUAGAUAUCAAGUUCGCAGAACAAACAAGAUUCAAGGCACUUGCACAUCACAGUUAAUAAAGGUAAGAUUACGACCUUAGUUGAAAUAGGUGGCUGGCUCCGUGGCAAGUCUGGAAAGUGGAUGCCAAAUGUUUCAAUUGGCUUAUCAUGGUUGCGAUGAUAAGCCUGCAUCAGUCGUGCCUGCAGCGUUCCUGGCUAAUAGCCGCAGAAAUGACUAAUUCAGUUUAGAUUUUGGUCUUUGAUGGGAUAUGUGGGGAUCCUUUCCGGGGCUGCCAAUAGGUUAACUCUUACUAACCUGUUCAAUGAACAAAAGGAGAUCCUGGAAGCGAGGUUCAUCUAUGACAGGGAUAAUUCUAGAUCAAGCAGGUUUGGUUUUAUCACAUGGGCCUCUGAUGAAGGUGUUGAGGAUCAAUCUUGAUGGCACUUUUUUUUCGUGAGGUGUGAAGCUUCUCCCGGUUAGAGUUCUACACAUGGUUUUUAUUUGGUGAAGUGGUACUGUCUUCAAGAAACAACUGAAGGGUUGCAUCCUAUGACAUUAUAGAAUGUCACCUGUUGUGUCGCUUUUGAAAGAAGAAAUAAGGCAGAAAGGAGAGCAGUAGAUUGCCACAACAACUGAGCUCAAUAGGCCGCACACUAAUUUUUUUGUUUUACAAUGAUCUCCACUUUGCCUUUUGUUAUGCAUCACUGUAAAUUCUAAACCCCCCUUUUAUAGGUAUUUUAGUUCAGCGCAAACCAAAUUCCUGGUUAUUGAUUGAGAAUUGAUUUACGUAUUUUUCUAUUUGUUAGUUUCCAAUUUGAUACUCUAGACCUAUACUGUUUUGAGCAACAUUCUGUAUAUAGUUGGAUGGUUUUGGCAAAUUUGAUUAUGAUCUUAACGAGGGAAUGCUACAAUGCCUUAA